UAUGAUUAACAAUAUUUUAAAUUUUGGCUACUAAAAAAAAAUUGUGUAACCGUUUUAGAAUAUCCAUAUCCCAAAUCACAUUUAUAACAAACUAAAAGAGCAUAUUUGCAUAUACCAAAAAAGUAAAUAAUAUCUUAGCAGAUAUAUUUCUCUUUUUUUCAGUUUCAAAAUUAUCAUUUCAAUUUUUCAUAACGAAUCCAAAGAGAAUAUACUCCUAAUUAUACCAAAACUCGGUUCGCAAGGCAUAUCUUUAUAAAUAUCUUUAAACGAAAAUCUUUAAUAUCCAUGUAUCCUCUUUAAACCUAUUUAUUUUGCUAUAUAUACUAUCUAAGCGACACAUUCAAUCUAAACUAAAGCACACAACUUAAGCAAACAAAAUAAAUGCUACACCAAAGUUAUCAUAUACAUGUCCGAUAUCAAGCUUUACAAAACUGAAUGGUGGAUCGCAGUGAAAGUUGUUCACACCAGAUAACAAUUCAGUGAACAAUUUGGUGAGACAUUGGAACUCAUUUUCUCUGACAAGAAGGAUCAAAAAAUCAUGCAUCAUGCAAAAAACUACUUGCUUAGUUUGGGCAGGGACUUCCAUGUGGGUGAUUGGAAAAACAGAGAAUUAUUUCCACUAAGUGCAGCAGCUGGUGGAUACUAACCUACCACUCACGUUAUAAAAUGGGGUUUAUGAAGUUCACCUCCAUUACUCCAUAUAAAUUCAGUAAUAUGGUAUGUUUAUGGAUUUACUGCAGCUUUAAACUAUAUUGAAUGGAAUUCUAAACAAUUUUUUUCUGAUUGGUAAGUUCUUAAAGACGUGUUUGUAUUACAUUUUUGUGAUUAUUCAUUAAUAUGUGUUUCUGUUGUAUAUAGAUGUUGUGGAACAAGCCAUAGAUAUUGUAGAAAAAAGCCAUUAAACGUAAGUAACCACCUUCUUUUAAAAAAAACGAAACCACCUUCUACAGCCGCUUAUAAACUCCUAUUUUAUAGGCUAUGUAUAAGGCAACAAAUAAAAAAUAUCGAACUCAUAUUUGGUACAUAAAUAUACGGAAUUUAAAUUUAUGAUCUACAAAGUAUAUUUUUGGAAGUAAAUUUAAGAUUACUAAAACUAUUUAAGUUAAUAUUAUUAUGGAAUUAUUAUUUAUAAAAAUAUAUACUUAUGAAGAGACCAGUUAUAGUCAAUAUGUGACCUCACAACCCAUCCAUACAUAGUGUUAUUUGCUUAAUUGUUACUCUAAUGGUGAAAUGAUAAGAAUUUAUUUAACGGAUUUUAAAUAGGUUAUUAAAAAAAAAAUAUUUACUAAAUGUGAUUUUACUUGAAGUUAGUGAAGAACAUAUCAACCCAUUUGUAAAUAUAUAUAACAAAAUAUAUUAAAAUUAUUUUUUUAAGACAUUUUUCAAAAAAAAAACGGUUUUCGGUGCGGGUUAGAUUUAAUAUUGGUUUUUGGAUAUAACACUUUUAAGAACCGUUCGAGUAUAUAUGUCAAGUCUAACAGAGCACGAGACUUUGAUUUUCGAGUCGAUUCCGAAUCGGAUUCUUUGGGUACGAAACAUUCUUAACUAAUUAUGUUAGGAAACUACUAAAAAAAUAUAAUAUGUUGCAAACUUUAAAAAUAAAUUAUUAAAAUAAUCUCUUAUAUGCAUAUGACACCAAUAUAUAGUUAUACAACUUGACAUAUUUAAUAUAUUUACCAAAAAUUUACUAAAUUAAAUUAAUAUUAAACACAAAUAUGAUUAAGAAAAUAACACAAAUAUAAAAAUUAAAUUUCUCAAAAAAAUUAAAACAAAAAAUAUACCCUAAAGAUGACCACCCAAAGAUGUUUUUUCUCAUCAAGAAUAUAUAUGUUACUGAGAGGAAUAACAAAACCCUAGCUUCUCACAUCAUUAUCUCUCUCUCUCUCUCUCUCUCUUUCGCAUCAUUUCGUACCCUCAUCUCUCUAUCAAAUACAGUGACAUUUUAUAAUCCAACCCGUAACUCUAAAGUUUUAUUACGGUUCCGAGGUAAUUCUAUUUAAAAAAUUCAAUAAAUUCAUAAGAAAUUGAAAACCGUUGAUGAACAUUAAUAGUAAUCAAAGAUGAUAAUUGUGUACUACAGUUCAUAGCAUAUUUAUUCUAAAUAUAUAUAUAUAUAUAUUACUGAUUUUAAAAUGAAAAUUGCUGAUUUUUCUCCCUAACAAUAUUAACCAAAUAUGAUUAACAAUAUUUUAAAUUUUGGCUACUAAAAAAAAAUUGUGUAACCGUUUUAGAAUAUCCAUAUCCCAAAUCACAUUUAUAACAAACUAAAAGAGCAUAUUUGCAUAUACCAAAAAAGUAAAUAAUAUCUUAGCAGAUAUAUUUCUCUUUUUUUCAGUUUCAAAAUUAUCAUUUCAAUUUUUCAUAACGAAUCCAAAGAGAAUAUACUCCUAAUUAUACCAAAACUCGGUUCGCAAGGCAUAUCUUUAUAAAUAUCUUUAAACGAAAAUCUUUAAUAUCCAUGUAUCCUCUUUAAACCUAUUUAUUUUGCUAUAUAUACUAUCUAAGCGACACAUUCAAUCUAAACUAAAGCACACAACUUAAGCAAACAAAAUAAAUGCUACACCAAAGUUAUCAUAUACAUGUCCGAUAUCAAGCUUUACAAAACUGAAUGGUGGAUCGCAGUGAAAGUUGUUCACACCAGAUAACAAUUCAGUGAACAAUUUGGUGAGACAUUGGAACUCAUUUUCUCUGACAAGAAGGAUCAAAAAAUCAUGCAUCAUGCAAAAAACUACUUGCUUAGUUUGGGCAGGGACUUCCAUGUGGGUGAUUGGAAAAACAGAGAAUUAUUUCCACUAAGUGCAGCAGCUGGUGGAUACUAACCUACCACUCACGUUAUAAAAUGGGGUUUAUGAAGUUCACCUCCAUUACUCCAUAUAAAUUCAGUAAUAUGGUAUGUUUAUGGAUUUACUGCAGCUUUAAACUAUAUUGAAUGGAAUUCUAAACAAUUUUUUUCUGAUUGGUAAGUUCUUAAAGACGUGUUUGUAUUACAUUUUUGUGAUUAUUCAUUAAUAUGUGUUUCUGUUGUAUAUAGAUGUUGUGGAACAAGCCAUAGAUAUUGUAGAAAAAAGCCAUUAAACGUAAGUAACCACCUUCUUUUAAAAAAAACGAAACCACCUUCUACAGCCGCUUAUAAACUCCUAUUUUAUAGGCUAUGUAUAAGGCAACAAAUAAAAAAUAUCGAACUCAUAUUUGGUACAUAAAUAU